rnacentral:ncRNA from 1 species
AUCAAAGCGAUGAUCAGGAGAAGUACAGGAGUGAAUGCGUCCACAGAGAGGAUGGAUAGGUGAGAGCCAUCUGCGCAUGCUGUCUGGAAAUGCCCCUGUGAGCAAUGAGCAGAACGCACGGGUUUUUGGUGCAAGUAUGCGACAUCGGCGCCCCGCCGUUACCGGGUGUAAAGCGAGACUGUCCUUUUAUGGAUGAUCUAAGCAGAGUGGAACCGCGGUAGAAAACCGUCUCUGUC